GCCGGGCGUGGUGGCGUGCGCCUGUAGUCCUAGCUUCCCAGGAGGCUGAGGCAGGAGAAUUGCUUGAAUCCGGGAGAUGGAGGUUGCAGUGAGCUGAGAUCACGCCACUGCACUCCAGCCUGGGUGAUAGAGUGAGACUCUGUCUCAA
ensembl:misc_RNA Metazoa_SRP Metazoan signal recognition particle RNA